AUGUGGAAAGGCGAUGUUGGGGUUGAACCCGCCGUGCUCGUCGCCGUCGGCGUAGCCAGGCGAGGGAGUGCAACCCCAGGGGUGUGGCGACGACGAGAAGUUGGCCGGAGACCCGACGCUCUGCUGGCUCCAGGACGCGUACGGGCCGUGGCCACCGGGUGGAUUCAUCAUCCCCGCGCGAGAUGCCUCGGCUUGUUCGGCCGCGCGAUCUGCCUGCUCCGCCACGGCCGCAGCCGCCACCGCCGCCACCGCCGCCCUGUCCCGAGCUUUCUUGGCGUUGGCCCUGUUUCGCCGGUCGGUGGUGACAGCCUCCCGGCGCUGAACUUCCGCCUUCCUGUCGGCGUUAGACAUGCCCGGGGCUUGGACGAUGGCGCCUUCUGCUUCCUCUGCUUCGACUGA
rnacentral:rRNA from 1 species